CAAUAGCGUAUAUUUAAGUUGUUGCAGUUAAAAAGCUCGUAGUUGGAUUUCGGUUAAGAGCGACCGGUCCGCCGUUUGGUGUGCACUGGUUGGUUUUAACUUCCUGUAGAGGACGUGCUCUGGGUUUAACGACCUGGACUCGGAGUCUACGUGGUUACUUUGAAAAAAUUAGAGUGUUCAAAGCGGGCUUACGCUUGAAUAUUUCAGCAUGGAAUAACACUAUAGGACUCCUGUCCUAUUUCGUUGGUCUCGGGACGGGAGUAAUGAUUAAGAGGAACAGUUGGGGGUAUUCGUAUUCCAUUGUCAGAGGUGAAAUUCUUGGAUUUUUGGAAGACGAACUACUGCGAAAGCAUUUACCAAGGAUGUUUUCAUUAA
rnacentral:rRNA from 1 species